CGUGUGCUUACAAGUAGUCAGAGCCCGUUUAUGGGUGAUGGCGUGCCUUUUGUAGAAUGAACCGGCGAGUUACGAUCUGAUGCAAGGUUAAGCAGCGAAUGUGGAGCCGUAGCGAAAGCGAGUCUGAAUAGGGCGUUGAGUAUUUGGUCGUAGACCCGAAACCAGGUGAUCUACCCUUGGUCAGGUUGAAGUUCAGGUAACACUGAAUGGAGGACCGAACCGACUUACGUUGAAAAGUGAGCGGAUGAACUGAGGGU
rnacentral:rRNA from 1 species